CACGUAGGGGGCAAGCGUUGUCCGGAUUUAUUGGGCGUAAAGAGCUCGUAGGUGGCUGAGUAAGUCGGAUGUUAAAUCCCCAGGCUCAACCUGGGACACCACCCGAUACUGCUCUGGCUAGAGUCCGGUAGGGGAGCGUGGAAUUCCUGGUGUAGCGGUGAAAUGCGUAGAUAUCAGGAGGAACACCUGCGGUGUAGACGGCUUACUGGACGGUAACUGACGCUGAGGCACGAAAGCGUGGGUAGCAAACAGG
rnacentral:rRNA from 1 species